GCUUCUUUAGCUCAGUUAGUAGAGCGCGAGUUGUUUUUAACCCCGAGGUUGCAAGCUCGAGUCUUUCUGAGAGCA